rnacentral:rRNA from 1 species
GAUGAACGCUAGCUACAGGCUUAACACAUGCAAGUCGAGGGGAAACGACAUCGAAAGCUUGCUUUUGAUGGGCGUCGACCGGCGCACGGGUGAGUAACGCGUAUCCAACCUGCCCAUCACUUGGGAAUAACCUUGCGAAAGUAAGACUAAUACCCAAUGAUAUCCCACGAAGGCAUCGGAAUGGGAUUAAAGAUUUAUCGGUGAUGGAUGGGGAUGCGUCUGAUUAGCUUGUUGGCGGGGUAACGGCCCACCAAGGCAACGAUCAGUAGGGGUUCUGAGAGGAAGGUCCCCCACAUUGGAACUGCGACACGGUCCAAACUCCUACGGGAGGCAGCAGUGAGGAAUAUUGGUCAAUGGGCGAGAGCCUGAACCAGCCAAGUAGCGUGCAGGAAGACGGCCCUAUGGGUUGUAAACUGCUUUUAUAAGGGAAUAAAGUGGGUCACGUGUGACUUUUUGCAUGUACCUUAUGAAUAAGGACCGGCUAAUUCCGUG